rnacentral:rRNA from 1 species
UACGUAGGGUGCGAGCGUUGUCCGGAAUUACUGGGCGUAAAGAGCUCGUAGGCGGUUUGUCGCGUUGUUCGUGAAAACCGGGGGCUUAACCCUCGGCGUGCGGGCGAUACGGGCAGACGUGGAGUACUGCAGGGGAGACUGGAACUCCUGGUGUAGCGGUGGAAUGCGCAGAUAUCAGGAGGAACACCGGUGGCGAAGGCGGGUCUCUGGGCAGUAACUGACGCUGAGGAGCGAAAGCGUGGGGAGCGAACAGG